AGUAGAACUAUGUCAAGGUGGAAGAGGAUGUCUUUGGCUGGAAGAAGGAUGGAGCCUUUCGAUUUGGGAAAGGCACCUGAAGCUCGGAGGCAUGGGGCUCCUAUGGAUGUUUCCCCAGAGCUGGGAGGGCUGAGCUGUGGGCACGAGGUUUGGCCAGCUCCCUGAAAAAACGUCUACCUGCUGAGAGCUCCAGUUGUCUCCCUGCCAUCGUGAUGAACGUGACACAGAGCACAAAAGAGGGCAAGUGGAAGAAUGAAUUGAAAUAAAGGAAAUGAAGCAACCUGUGAAAAACCAGCAAACAAGCCUACAUCAGCAGUGAAAGUCAAUGAGGCAAACACCAUCUGGCCCUGAAAAUGAAUGGAGCAGAAAAGGAUGGCCUCGCCUCCCGGGGAUUGGCGCUCUGCUGGGUGCAGAGUCGUGUCCAUGCCUGCCUGAGACUAGCCUGGGUCAGGCGCGCAGGGUGGAUGGAGAUGUCGGGGAAGAAG